rnacentral:sRNA from 1 species
UUUAACCUAGAUUCGUUUUGGAACUAUUCGCCGUCGUUUUCAUCUUCUUUAAACUGAA